UCUGGUGAUAAUGCCGGAGGGGUUCCACCCGUUCCCAUACCGAACACGGUAGUUAAGACCUCCAGGGCCGAUGAUACUUGGGGCAUAGCCCCUGGGAAAGCAGGACAUUGCCAGGU
rfam:Desulfosporosinus orientis DSM 765, complete genome.